UACGUAGGGCGCAAGCGUUGUCCGGAAUUAUUGGGCGUAAAGAGCUCGUAGGCGGUCUGUCGCGUCGGUUGUGAAAACACAAGGCUCAACCUUGUGCCUGCAAUCGAUACGGGCAGACUAGAGUACUGCAGGGGAGACUGGAAUUCCUGGUGUAGCGGUGGAAUGCGCAGAUAUCAGGAGGGACACCGGUGGCGAAGGCGGGUCUCUGGGCCGAUACUGACGCUGAGGAGCGAAAGCGUGGGGAGCGAACAGG
rnacentral:rRNA from 1 species